GUGCUUGCUUCGGCAGCACAUGCACUAAAAUUGGAAAGAUACAGAGAAGAUUAGCAAGCCCCCUGUGCAAGGAAGACGUGCAAAUUCGUGAAGCGUUCCAUAUUAGA